rnacentral:rRNA from 1 species
AGAGUUUGAUCCUGGCUCAGGAUGAACGCUAGCGGCAGGCUUAACACAUGCAAGUCGAACGGUAAGGUCUCUUCGGAGAUACACGAGUGGCGAACGGGUGCGUAACGCGUAUGCAACCUACCUUUAACAGAGAGAUAGCCCCGAGAAAUUGGGAUUAAUAUCACAUAAUAUCAUAAUACAACCUUGUAUACUGAUUAAAGCUCCGGCGGUUAAAGAUGGGCAUGCGUAGCAUUAGCUAGUUGGUAAGGUAACGGCUUACCAAGGCAACGAUGCUUAGGGGUUCUGAGAGGAUUAUCCCCCACACUGGUACUGAGACACGGACCAGACUCCUACGGGAGGCAGCAGUGAGGAAUAUUGGUCAAUGGACGCAAGUCUGAACCAGCCAUGCCGCGUGCAGGACGACGGCCCUAUGGGUUGUAAACUGCUUUUAUAUACCAAGAAACCCCCCGACGUGUUGGGGGCUGACGGUAGUAUACGAAUAAGCACCGCUAACU